AAUAUUUAAAUGAAAGCAAAAGAACCAGAAAAGAUCAUCAUUGCCAAAACCAUAUCUAUGUAGUUUUGAUCACAACACAAGCUUUGAUCUUAAUUUUUUUUUAAAGUGAGAGAGAGAGAGAAUUUUAAUAUAUGUUUUUUUUUUGUUUUUGGCAGACACAACAUCUUUGUAGGUGGUGCUGAGGAUCGAACCCCGGCCGCACGCAUGCCAGGCGAACGCGGUACCGCUUGAGCCACACCCCCAGCCCACAAGCUUUGAUCUUUACACUAACAUUAUAUUACAUUAUAUUAAGUCUUUUUCCACAUUGAUACAUAAAAACUCUUUUUCUGAUUGCUUGAUCUUCCAUCAUUUUGAUAUAACUCAAUUUAUUUAACCAAUUGUGCUUUCAUUUAACAAAUAUUUAUUGAAUGUCAACCAUGUUCUAAGUACUGGGAAACAGCUGUGAUAAAUGGAUAAAAAUCCCUUUCCCUGUGGAACUUAUAUUCUAGGAUGUGUUAUGUUUGGGGCAGGAGAGGUAGACAUUUGAAAUUUUUUAUAUAAGUUACAUGGAGUCAUAUGGGGAAAGAGUGUUUUGAGUAGAGGGAACAGCCAACAAAAUUCUCCGGUGUGACUGGGAAGGAGAUGAACUCCUGUGUGCCACUGUCAAAGUUUACUGUGAUGUGCUCUGAGUCAUUUAGGCUUACUCUGAGUCAGAUGGGAAGCCACUGGAGGCUUCUGAGCAGAGAAGUGGUAUGAUCCGAUUUAUCAUUUGAGAAGAAGCACUUUCACUAUUGUGUUGAGGUGAAAGAAAGUGGGAGAAGGAGGCUAGUUAGAAAGCUAUUGCUAUAAUUUAGGACCCAGGAGGUGGUGGUUCAGACUAGGAUGGUAGCUAUGAAGGCGGUGAGAAUACUUUGAAGAGAAGUGGAGAGGAGAUUUGAUUUCAUCUUGAAAGUGUCUGGUAGCUGCUUGAGUUGAGAGCAGACUGCAGGGAACACGGUGGAAGCAGGGACCAGCUGCAGGUUACCACAACCAUCCAGGCAGAGGUAAGGGUAGCAUGACCAGAUGGGGGAAUCAUGCGCAUUCUCUAUUUGUACCUUAAAUUAUUUGUAAUUUAUUGUUAUAAAAAUUUGUCACAGAUUAAAAAAACUUUGCAUAGAAUUAUUCAUCUACAUAGUCCCCAAACUUUUCUUUUGUAAUAAUUAUCUUUGCCCUUGAAUAAAUACCCUGG
rnacentral:lncRNA from 1 species